rnacentral:misc_RNA from 1 species
GUAAAUGCUACGGAAUUGAUCUGAGGAAAUAUGAGCAGACACAACAUCCAAUUUAUGCUUCUCUAGGAUAUAGAAGAUGCUGGUAAGUAACCCAGGCCUCUUCACUGAACACACACUAAUCUGUGCAUUAUCACCACACAUGUUCAUUACAACAUUUGGCGAAAACCAUGUCUGGAAGCAACAUGGAGAAAGAGAAAGAGGAAACGAAUGAGGCAUGUUUGUAGCCAUAGUGAAACUCUUUGAUGGUCCCUGAGUAGCCAGAAAAGCGUCCCUGGAUUCAAGUGCUUCUGUAUGUGAUGUGAUAACUGAUUGUUCACUGUCAACAAUUGUUGCUCCUUGGAGCUUUUCUUCCCGUUGUUUCUCUAGCGUUUGGAGA